rnacentral:rRNA from 2 species
GGGUUGUGAGGUUAAGCGACUAAGCGUACACGGUGGAUGCCCUGGCAGUCAGAGGCGAUGAAGGACGUGCUAAUCUGCGAUAAGCGCCGGUAAGGUGAUAUGAACCGUUAUAACCGGCGAUUUCCGAAUGGGGAAACCCAGUGUGAUUCGUCACACUAUCAUUAACUGAAUCCAUAGGUUAAUGAGGCGAACCGGGGGAACUGAAACAUCUAAGUACCCCGAGGAAAAGAAAUCAACCGAGAUUCCCCCAGUAGCGGCGAGCGAACGGGGAGGAGCCCAGAGCCUGAAUCAGCAUGUGUGUUAGUGGAAGCGUCUGGAAAGGCGCGCGAUACAGGGUGACAGCCCCGUACACAAAAGCGCAUGUGCUGUGAGCUCGAUGAGUAGGGCGGGACACGUGGUAUCCUGUCUGAAUAUGGGGGGACCAUCCUCCAAGGCUAAAUACUCCUGACUGACCGAUAGUGAACCAGUACCGUGAGGGAAAGGCGAAAAGAACCCCGGCGAGGGGAGUGAAAAAGAACCUGAAACCGUGUACGUACAAGCAGUGGGAGCACAGGUUUACCUGUGUGACUGCGUACCUUUUGUAUAAUGGGUCAGCGACUUAUAUUCUGUAGCAAGGUUAACCGAAUAGGGGAGCCGGAGGGAAACCGAGUCUUAAUUGGGCGUUAAGUUGCAGGGUAUAGACCCGAAACCCGGUGAUCUAGCCAUGGGCAGGUUGAAGGUUGGGUAACACUAACUGGAGGACCGAACCGACUAAUGUUGAAAAAUUAGCGGAUGACCUGUGGCUGGGGGUGAAAGGCCAAUCAAACCGGGAGAUAGCUGGUUCUCCCCGAAAGCUAUUUAGGUAGCGCCUCGUGAAUUCAUCUCCGGGGGUAGAGCACUGUUUCGGCUAGGGGGCCAUCCCGGCUUACCAACCCGAUGCAAACUGCGAAUACCGGAGAAUGUUAUCACGGGAGACACACGGCGGGUGCUAACGUCCGUCGUGAAGAGGGAAACAACCCAGACCGCCAGCUAAGGUCCCAAAGUCAUGGUUAAGUGGGAAACGAUGUGGGAAGGCCCAGACAGCCAGGAUGUUGGCUUAGAAGCAGCCAUCAUUUAAAGAAAGCGUAAUAGCUCACUGGUCGAGUCGGCCUGCGCGGAAGAUGUAACGGGGCUAAACCAUGCACCGAAGCUGCGGCAGCGAACGUAUCACUUAAAGCGAUUCAGCGGGUUACGAUUGACGGAGCGAAGCGACGUCAAAGCGUAUACAAAGUCGAGUCGGUUUAAGGAUACGUUCGUUGGGUAGGGGAGCGUUCUGUAAGCCCGUGAAGGUGGCCUGUGAGGGUUGCUGGAGGUAUCAGAAGUGCGAAUGCUGACAUAAGUAACGAUAAAGCGGGUGAAAAGCCCGCUCGCCGGAAGACCAAGGGUUCCUGUCCAACGUUAAUCGGGGCAGGGUGAGUCGACCCCUAAGGCGAGGCCGAAAGGCGUAGUCGAUGGGAAACGGGUUAAUAUUCCCGUACUUGGUGUUACUGCGAAGGGGGGACGGAGAAGGCUAUGUUGGCCGGGCGACGGUUGUCCCGGUUUAAGCGUGUAGGUGUGUGUUCCAGGUAAAUCCGGUUCACUUUAACACUGAGGCGUGACGACGAGGCACUACGGUGCUGAAGCAACAAAUGCCCUGCUUCCAGGAAAAGCCUCUAAGCAUCAGGUAACACGAAAUCGUACCCCAAACCGACACAGGUGGUCAGGUAGAGAAUACCAAGGCGCUUGAGAGAACUCGGGUGAAGGAACUAGGCAAAAUGGUGCCGUAACUUCGGGAGAAGGCACGCUGACACGUAGGUGAAGUGAUUUACUCAUGGAGCUGAAGUCAGUCGAAGAUACCAGCUGGCUGCAACUGUUUAUUAAAAACACAGCACUGUGCAAACACGAAAGUGGACGUAUACGGUGUGACGCCUGCCCGGUGCCGGAAGGUUAAUUGAUGGGGUCAGCGCAAGCGAAGCUCCUGAUCGAAGCCCCGGUAAACGGCGGCCGUAACUAUAACGGUCCUAAGGUAGCGAAAUUCCUUGUCGGGUAAGUUCCGACCUGCACGAAUGGCGUAAUGAUGGCCAGGCUGUCUCCACCCGAGACUCAGUGAAAUUGAACUCGCUGUGAAGAUGCAGUGUACCCGCGGCAAGACGGAAAGACCCCGUGAACCUUUACUAUAGCUUGACACUGAACAUUGAGCCUUGAUGUGUAGGAUAGGUGGGAGGCUUUGAAGUGUGGACGCCAGUCUGCAUGGAGCCGACCUUGAAAUACCACCCUUUAAUGUUUGAUGUUCUAACGUGGACCCGUAAUCCGGGUUGCGGACAGUGUCUGGUGGGUAGUUUGACUGGGGCGGUCUCCUCCUAAAGAGUAACGGAGGAGCACGAAGGUUGGCUAAUCCUGGUCGGACAUCAGGAGGUUAGUGCAAUGGCAUAAGCCAGCUUGACUGCGAGCGUGACGGCGCGAGCAGGUGCGAAAGCAGGUCAUAGUGAUCCGGUGGUUCUGAAUGGAAGGGCCAUCGCUCAACGGAUAAAAGGUACUCCGGGGAUAACAGGCUGAUACCGCCCAAGAGUUCAUAUCGACGGCGGUGUUUGGCACCUCGAUGUCGGCUCAUCACAUCCUGGGGCUGAAGUAGGUCCCAAGGGUAUGGCUGUUCGCCAUUUAAAGUGGUACGCGAGCUGGGUUUAGAACGUCGUGAGACAGUUCGGUCCCUAUCUGCCGUGGGCGCUGGAGAACUGAGGGGGGCUGCUCCUAGUACGAGAGGACCGGAGUGGACGCAUCACUGGUGUUCGGGUUGUCAUGCCAAUGGCACUGCCCGGUAGCUAAAUGCGGAAGAGAUAAGUGCUGAAAGCAUCUAAGCACGAAACUUGCCCCGAGAUGAGUUCUCCCUGAGACUUAGAGUCUCCUGAAGGAACGUUGAAGACGACGACGUUGAUAGGCCGGGUGUGUAAGCGCAGCGAUGCGUUGAGCUAACCGGUACUAAUGAACCGUGAGGCUUAACCUUACAACGCCGAAG